rnacentral:misc_RNA from 1 species
GAUGAAGAACGCAGCGAAAUGCGAUACGUAAUGUGAAUUGCAGAAUUCAGUGAUUCAUCGAGUCUUUGAACGCACAUUGCGCCCCCUGGUAUUCCGGGGGGCAUGCCUGUCCGAGCGUCAUUGCUGCCCUCAAGCACGGCUUGUGUGUUGGGCCUCCGUCCUCCUCCCGGGGGACGGGCCCGAAAGGCAGCGGCGGCACCGCGUCCGGUCCUCGAGCGUAUGGGGCUUCGUCACCCGCUCUUGUAGGCCCGGCCGGCGCUUGCCGACACAUCAAUCUUUUUUCCAGGUUGACCUCGGAUCAGGUAGGGAUACCCGCUGAACUUAAGCAUAUCAAUAAGCGGAGGA